rnacentral:lncRNA from 1 species
GUUGUGGGUAACGCGGACGUGGAAGAACCUCGUCUGCGGAGGAAAAGGUGCCGAGUCAAUCCCCAUACACAGCCGCCGCCAUUGCCUCGAGUCCUUGUGUCUGACUGUCUGUUCCUGCUGCUGUAUGACACAGCACCUCGAGGCAAGGAAAUAAGAAAACUGCCUCUGAUCCAAGCAGAGAAGGUAGAUCUGUCCCCAGGUCUGUGGAACUGUCAGUUGUGAAGUUUUGUAAAAUGGUCACCCAACUUAAAACUAGGAAAUUACGAAGAAGAGAAAAUUGCCCUGUAUCUGUUAAGGUCUGCCUGUAGAUCUGCUGUAGGGCUUGUCACCAUUGGAAGCAAGAACUCCUGUAGCCUGUAAUACCAGCUGUGGGUACUACUCUCAGUGUUGGAGAUCAUCAAAAUACAAUUGGACCAGACCCUUUGGAAAUAAUUCUGUGUCUCAAAUGCCCUGUGGAGCACACACUUAAUCAGUUGAUGGCUAUGGAAUUUUCCAACAUCAGCUAAAGAGAAGGGAUAGAGUGGUGACUUCCAAGCUUCAUGCAGAACCGGACAACAGAAAUUGAGAGGGAAAUUUCUAUGACAGAAGAGAGAAAGAAGAAAAUUGCUGGAAUAAUGACCUUGAAUAGAGGAAAUGGGAUAUCAUCUGGUAAGCAAAUAGAGAAGCUGGCUUUAGAUAAGAGCCUGGACAAUUCAUUCAUAGAAUAGCAGAAAAGGCAGAAUUUAUGUCCAUAGAUGCAAGUGGUAUAGUAGAUAUAGUGAUGGGAGUUUGUAAAAGUUACCUUCUAAUUGCUAUUUUUUUUAAUGAAAUAAGAAACAAAGUCAUCAACUCAAAGUGAGUAAUAUGUAGGAGGUGAUUAUUGUUUGAGGAGAGAGGAGAAUGUGUGAUAUCUUUUGUUAAUUAUGGUAAAAUAUAACACAAAAUUUGCCAUUUUAACCAUUUUAAGUGGACAAUUAAGUGUCAUUAAUUACAUUCACACUGUUGUACAUCUGCCACCACUAUCUUCUUCUAAAACUUUUUAUCACCUCUUAUAGUUUAAAUUGUGCCCCCACAGAAGAUAUGUUGGAGUCCUAUCCCUUAAUAUUAAUGUGACCUUAUUUGGAGAUAGGAUCUUUAUAAAGGUAUUCAAAUUAACAUGAGAUCAUUAGGGUGGAAUCCUAAUCCAAUAUGAUUAGUGUCCUUAUAAAAAGGGGAAAUUUGGACACAGAGGCAAGCACACAGGGAGAGUGCCAAGUGAAGAUGAAGAAAAAGAUCAGAGUGAUACAAAGAAGUCAAAGAACACCAAAGAUUGCCAACAAACCACCAGAAGCUAGGAGAAAGGCCUGAAACAUAUCCUUCCCGCAUGCCUUCAGAGGGAGCGUGGGCCUGCAGACACUUUGAUCUCAGACUUCUACCCUAUGGAACUGUGCAAAAAUAAAUGUCUGUUGUUUAAGCCAUUCAGUUUGUGUUACAGCACAAAUGUAUUCUAUUUAGAAUAC